rnacentral:rRNA from 1 species
GAUGAACGCUAGCGGCAGGCUUAAUACAUGCAGGUCGUGGGGCAGCAUGAAUGUAGCAAUACAUUUGAUGGCGACCGGCAAACGGGUGCGGAACACGUACACAACCUUCCUAUAAGUGGGGAAUAGCCCAGAGAAAUUUGGAUUAAUACCCCGUAACAUAACGAUGUGGCAUCACAUUGUUAUUAUAGCUUCGGCGCUUAUUGAUGGGUGUGCGGCUGAUUAGAUAGUUGGCGGGGUAACGGCCCACCAAGUCUACGAUCAGUAGCUGAUGUGAGAGCACGAUCAGCCACACGGGCACUGAGACACGGGCCCGACUCCUACGGGAGGCAGCAGUAAGGAAUAUUGGUCAAUGGACGCAAGUCUGAACCAGCCAUGCCGCGUGAAGGAUUAAGGUCCUCUGGAUUGUAAACUUCUUUUAUAAGGGACGAAAAAAGGUCUUUCUAGAUCGUCUGACGGUACCUUAUGAAUAAGCACCGGCUAACUCCGUGCCAGCAGCCGCUGUAAAAC